rnacentral:rRNA from 1 species
UACGUAGGCAGCAAGCGUUGUUCGGAGUUACUGGGCGUAAAGAGUGCGUAGGCGGUGUCGAAAGUUUGGCGUGAAAUCUCCCGGCUUAACUGGGAGGGUGCGCCGAAAACUGCGGUGCUGGAGUGUGGGAAAGGCAAGCGGAAUUCCACGUGUAGCAGUGAAAUGCGUAGAGAUGUAGAGGAACACCGAUGGCGAAGGCAGCCCCCCUGGGAUAACACUGACGCUCAUGCACGAAAGCGUGGGGAGCAAACAGG